rnacentral:rRNA from 1 species
GAUGAACGCCGGCGGCGUGCCUAAUACAUGCAAGUCGAGCGAACAGACGAGGAGCUUGCUCCUCUGACGUUAGCGGCGGACGGGUGAGUAACACGUGGAUAACCUACCUAUAAGACUGGGAUAACUUCGGGAAACCGGAGCUAAUACCGGAUAAUAUAUUGAACCGCAUGGUUCAAUAGUGAAAGACGGUUUUGCUGUCACUUAUAGAUGGAUCCGCGCCGCAUUAGCUAGUUGUUAAGGUAACGGCUUACCAAGGCAACCAUGCGUAGCCGACCUGAGAGGGUGAUCGGCCACACUGGAACUGAGACACGGUCCAGACUCCUACGGGACGCAGCAGUAGGGAAUCUUCCGCAAUGGGCGAAAACCUGACGGAGCAACGCCGCGUGAGUGAUGAAGGUCUUCGGAUCGUAAAACUCUGUUAUUAGGGAAGAACAAAUGUGUAAGUAACUAUGCACGUCUUGACGGUAACUAAUCAGAAAGCCACGGCUAACUACGUG